UCCUGCAUCUUUAGGACAUUCAUAUCUCCAGGACAUUAAUUCCUCAACAUUAUGGUGCUCUUGUUGCUCUUGUUUUCCUUGGUGGCUUUUUCUAAAGGCAUCUUCUCAGAUAUUCAGCUUAUAUCAUCUGGGCCAGGAAUAGUGAGACCAGGAGAGAAUCUCCACCUGCUUUGUAAAGUCACAGGUUUCUCCAUAUCUACUCGGUACUAUUGGUGGCACUGGAUCCGUCAAGCUCCUGGGAAAGGUCUGGAAUGGAUGGCACGGAUAUACCCCUAUGAUGGCGACACAAAAUAUGCCCCUUCUCUGAAGAACCGAGCAACCAUUUCUUUAGAUGCCUCAAAGAACCAGUUCUCUCUCCAGCUGAACUCCCUGACAGCUGCAGACUCCGCUGUUUAUUUCUGUGCCCGAAGUGACACAGUGAGACAAAGCCUAUUGGCUCCCUGUUCAAAAAGUAGAAGUUAUGCUUCUAUAAACAAAUACACUGUGAAAGUUUUGACAGAGACAUUCUACAUUCUACAGAUGAUGCGGAACAACAUCCAAACUGCUUGUCUCUUCAAUCUGUAA